rnacentral:rRNA from 1 species
UACGGAGGGGACUAGCGUUGUUCGGAAUUACUGGGCGUAAAGCGCACGUAGGCGGAUUUGUAAGUCAGGGGUGAAAUCCCGGGGCUCAACCUCGGAACUGCCUUUGAUACUGCAAAUCUCGAGUCCGGAAGAGGUGAGUGGAAUUCCUAGUGUAGAGGUGAAAUUCGUAGAUAUUAGGAAGAACACCAAUUGCGAAGGCAGCUUACUACACAGUGAUUGACACUGAGGCACGAAAGCGUGGGGAUCAAACAGG